rnacentral:rRNA from 1 species
GAACGCUGGCGGCAUGCUUUACACAUGCAAGUCGAACGGUAACAGGUCUUCGGAUGCUGACGAGUGGCGAACGGGUGAGUAAUACAUCGGAACGUGCCUAGUAGUGGGGGAUAACUACUCGAAAGAGUAGCUAAUACCGCAUGAGAUCUACGGAUGAAAGCAGGGGACCUUCGGGCCUUGUGCUACUAUAGCGGCUGAUGGCAGAUUAGGUAGUUGGUGGGGUAAAGGCUUACCAAGCCUGCGAUCUGUAGCUGGUCUGAGAGGACGACCAGCCACACUGGGACUGAGACACGGCCCAGACUCCUACGGGAGGCAGCAGUGGGGAAUUUUGGACAAUGGGCGAAAGCCUGAUCCAGCAAUGCCGCGUGCAGGAUGAAGGC